rnacentral:rRNA from 1 species
UACAGAGGUCUCAAGCGUUGUUCGGAUUCAUUGGGCGUAAAGGGUGCGUAGGUGGCGCUGUAAGUCAGGUGUGAAAUUUCGGAGCUUAACUCCGAAACUGCAUUUGAUACUGCGGUGCUCGAGGACUGGAGAGGAGACUGGAAUUUACGGUGUAGCAGUGAAAUGCGUAGAGAUCCGGAGGAACACCAGUGGCGAAGGCGACACGCUGGGUCGCACCUGACGCUAAAGCGCGACAGCAUGGGGAGCGAACGGG